UUGAACCUGCUCAGCCAUUUUAGAAACAACCUUCCAGGCUUCUUUCUUCGAGUUUGCAGCUGAGAACGAAAACAAGAGACUCUUCUCUUGGUGGGAACCAACAGAAACACUGGGAUUAGAAACCCAUUUCAUAUUUUCAGCCCUCAUCCAGUGCCAGCUGGAAGCCAAAGAACCCGGUGAACAGUGAACAAAGGUCCCAGUGAGCAGCUGGAGUCUCCCUCCUGUCUGGACCCCUGUGACAGCUUGAUCCAAACCCCUUGGAGACCACAGACAGUUUUACAAACUAAAUUAAUCUACAGUUUUUUCAUCAGGUGUGCCAGUAGAUGCAGAUCAGCUCACACGGGAAGUCAACUCAGUUCUUGCUGGUAUUAUCUGAGUUACCAAGGUACUGUUUUCCUCCUCCCUGGCACUGGGGUUUGGGGGUAACUCAUCCAUCUCUUUCUAAUUCAUGUGUUUCCAUUUUCCACUGCAGGGACAAAAGCAAAGAUUGCCCAAUUCAAGGGGCAGAAACAACCCAAGAACGAGCUUGUAAACACUUUUGGAGAAGGCCUUGUUGCCACUUUAAGAAAACCCUUGUAGGAAUAUUAUUUGCCUCUGGCUCAGGGAGAAAGAACACCUGCCAGGGAAUCUGCUCCUGCAGAAAUUCCAGUGACACCGUGUGAGGCAGCAAGGGAGGGGGGGGGGAAUUUAAGAGCCACAACAAAAGAGAACAACAGAAUAAUAGGAGCAGUAUAUCACUGACUUCAACCCCAGUUAUUUCUCUCUUGUAGAAAAGAAAUCAUAUGUCCUGUUGCAGCACUGACUCCAAAGUAACCCCAGCACGGCUCUGGGGCUGUUCAUGGAGACAGGCUGGGAGAACAACCUAUUUCUGUUAUCCCCCCACACCCCCAGCACACAAUGCAUCCUGCAGGCCAAAAAUUGGAUAAGAAUUCUCCUGGGAGCGAUGAACUUCACCCAGCAAUCCAUCAUCAAAGAUUCAGAGCAAAGUUUGCAACACCAAGUAUUUUGGGCUUUGUUCCCCCCGUCCCCAAAUAUUAAUCCCAUCUAUCUAUGAUCCAAACUCAUUGAUUGUACAACAUCUACAUCCACUUAAGUCCCACUCAGGCUGCUCAGCUUUCCAGCACUCCCACAGGAUUACUGUCAAUAGGAAAGUCCUUCUUAGCUCCUUAGGAUAGAGUGACAUCUUGUGGUUUCUUCUUUUGUCCACCAUUGACAAAUAAAAAUUAGCCCAAAAAGCUUUGCCUAAGUUUGGUUUUGUUUGUUUUUGGUAUAAACUCCAACAUGUUCUUUGUUUGAGGAAUACCAUGUUCUUGAUUCUCAGACACUGAAACAACAGUUUACUUUGCCACCAUCAGGGCUUGUGGAAAGAGAGUGAAAAUUAGUGCUUGGAACAGCAACAAAAACAUUCUAAUUCGUAAACACAAAUUCUUGUUUAAAUGUAGAAUCUACAAAAAACUGGUGCUCAAAAUCAUUUACAAGUGGGAUCUUAUUAGUUAAAUACAUUAUUAGUUAGAUAUAUUAGUUAAAUAAGUCAAUCUCCAGCAGUAGCCCCACUACUAAAAGGAUUCUUAGGGAAAAUACUCUUUCCAACUGCAGCUCUGGAAGGCAUUCCCACCUGGACUCCAGGUGUGCAAGGAAUUAUUCUUCUCAUGCUUCAACUGCAGCUGCAGCACAGAAGGAUCUCAGUAAUCAAUGCUACACCACGGGUCACUUACACAGCACAAUUAGAAAAGUUACAGUGAUUUAUUUUCUGAUUUAGUCUCCAACACAAAAUACAAUUCUUCAUUUUUUUUUAAGACUACACAGCUGAACUCACACAUGAGCUACUGCUGACAAA